UUUGCUCAUGGUUAUGAUGCUUAUUCGUCUUCCUCUUCUUCUGGAUUUUUAUUGUUAUCAAAUUCAUGUAUGUAUGUGAUAGGAAUGUGUUGUAUGGUAUGGCUUGCUUUUGUGUUAAUUUUGUGUUGAUCCUUUGUCAUGCAGGUGAUACAUGGUGACAAUUUCCAAUCAUGUUGAUGAUGAUGAGUGCAUGAAGGAUGGCGUGUAAAAACUUUGCUGCAAAACAAAAGCCUAUUUUGUCU
rnacentral:lncRNA from 1 species